CGUAGGGGGCAAGCGUUGUCCGGAUUUAUUGGGCGUAAAGCGCUCGCAGGUGGUUCGCUGCGUCGUGCGUGAAAGACCCCGGCUCAACUGGGGAGGGUCGUGCGAUACGGGCGAACUGGAGGCCAGUAGGGGGAUGCGGAAUUCCGGGUGUAGUGGUGGAAUGCGUAGAGAUCCGGAGGAACACCAGCGGCGAAGGCGGCAUCCUGGACUGGUCCUGACACUCAUGAGCGAAAGCGUGGGGAGCGAUCCGGAUUAGAUACCCGGGUAGUCCACGCUGUAAACGAUGAGCACUAGGUGUCGGGGGUAUCGACCCCCUCGGUGCCGCAGCUAACGCGAUAAGUGCUCCGCCUGGGGACUACGGCCGCAAGGCUA
rnacentral:rRNA from 1 species